rnacentral:rRNA from 1 species
CCAAUAGCGUAUAUUAAAGUUGCUGCAGUUAAAAAGCUCGUAGUUGAAUUUCGGGACCAUCAUGUCGGUCGUGCCUCGGUACGUACUGGUAUUGUUGGUUUCUCCCUUCUGACGAACCAUGAUGUCAUUUAUUUGGUGUUGUGGGGAAUCAGGACUGUUACUUUGAAAAAAUUAGAGUGCUUAAAGCAGGCUCACGCUUGGAUACAUUAGCAUGGAAUAAUGAAAUAGGACGUUUGAUUCUAUUUUGUUGGUUUCUAGGAUCGACGUAAUGAUUAAUAGGGAUAGUUGGGGGCAUUAGUAUUCAAUUGUCAGAGGUGAAAUUCUUGGAUUUAUUGAAGACUAACUACUGCGAAAGCAUUUGCCAAGGAUGUUUUCAUUAAUCAAGAACGAAAGUUAGGGGAUCGGAGACGAUCAGAUACCGUCGUAGUCUUAACCAUAAACUAUGCCGACUAGGGAUCGGAUGAUGUUAAUUUUUUAAUGACUCAUUCGGCGCCUUACG